rnacentral:rRNA from 1 species
GCCCAAGAGAUCGGGAUAACACCUGGAAACAGAUGCUAAUACCGGAUAACAACAGAUGAUGCCUAUCAACUGUUUAAAAGAUGGUUCUGCUAUCACUCUUGGAUGGACCUGCGGUGCAUUAGCUAGUUGGUAGGGUAACGGCCUACCAAGGCGAUGAUGCAUAGCCGAGUUGAGAGACUGAUCGGCCACAUUGGGACUGAGACACGGCCCAGACUCCUACGGGAGGCAGCAGAC